UCGGAGAGACAUUGUUGAGGAUGAGGGAGACAUCGUCCUCGAUCAGAGACAUUGUCCACGAUCGCAGAGACCUUGUCAAAGACGAGAGAGACGUUGUCCAUGAUCAGAGACAUUGUCCCAUGCUUCGUAGAGACCUUGCGAUAGAAUCGGCGGAGACGGGGGUCACCGAUUUGACGGCAUUGCCCGCGAUCAUGGAGAUAUUGUCGAUGAUCACAGAGACGGCGUCUAUGAUCUCAGAGACAUCGUCCACGAUUGCAAAGACACUGGCCAUGAUCACAGAGACUUUGUCCAUAAUCUCAGAGACAUUGUCCGCGAUCACAGAGACGUAGUCCACGAUCACAGAGAGUCUUUGUACAAUGAAGAAGUUCUUUGAGACCAGGACAGAGGCCUCCAGGUGUCACCACUAUGUCCGCAACAUCGUCCACGAUCGCAGAGACAUGGUCCAUGAUCGGAGAGACAUUGUUGAGGAUGAGGGAGACAUCGUCCUCGAUCAGAGACAUUGUCCACGAUCGCAGAGACCUUGUCAAAGACGAGAGAGACGUUGUCCAUGAUCAGAGACAUUGUCCCAUGCUUCGUAGAGACCUUGCGAUAGAAUCGGCGGAGACGGGGGUCACCGAUUUGACGGCAUUGCCCGCGAUCAUGGAGACAUUGUCGAUGAUCACAGAGACAGCGUCUAUGAUCUCAGAGACAUCGUCCACGAUUGCAAAGACACUGGCCAUGAUCACAGAGACUUUGUCCAUAAUCUCAGAGACAUUGUCCGCGAUCACAGAGACGUAGUCCACGAUCACAGAGAGUCUUUGUACAAUGAAGAAGUUCUUUGAAACCAGGACAGAGGCCUCCAGGAGGAGAAGACGACAGCAGCUGAAGACCUGAAGUGGAUGAAAGAAAACAGAAGUGGUAUGAGGCUGUUAAUUAGAUAAAAGACCUCUACCAUCUAACUGCUGUAAACAGUGUUGGUUUCCUGUUGUUCAAUUGAACACAGUUUUUCUCUGUCAUCUGUAAUGUAGUCAUGGGCUUAUGAUACAACUAUUUAAUAAUUCUAUCACAAAUAGUUAAAUCAUCACAAAGUUACUUCGUAGAUAUGCUCAUCUUUGGAAAAUGCGCUCAUAACUAAAUUAACCCUCACUCUAACCAGCUCUAACAAGUGUUUCCUUGUGCUCAAAUGUCUGUCAUUAUCUUUGCUGUGAUUUGUUAAAUG